UUGACUGCAAACCCAUCCGCUGUGCAGGAGAAGGGUUUUCUAGCACAAUGAUUGGAAGACUGGCCGCUCUGAUUCUUCUUGGUACAGUGUAUCUGAUUCAAACUGCAGAGGUUCCUCAACAGGUCUCUUUGACUUUGGUUGAACUUGGUGGAAAUGUUACGUUGUGGUGUCCAGUUUUCAGAGAAGGAUACUUUUACUGGUACAAGCAGACUUUGGGACAUAUGAUCCAAACAGUUGCUAGAGUAACUUUCACUGGACAGAAACUUAGUCUGCAAUUGAACAACACACGUUUCAAAGUCACAGGAGGGAAGACUCAGUAUUCUCUUACCAUCAGAAAUAUAACCAAAGAGGACGAAGCAACAUAUUUCUGUCUCAAUGGAACAGCGUAUGGACAAAGUUUUGUCAACGGCACCUUCUUGGCUGUUAAAGAUCGUAAGCAGCAGAGAUCUUUCUACGUGAAACAAAGUCCGCUCACUGAGUCGGUCCAGCCGGGCGACUCGGUGACUCUCCAGUGUUCACUUGUCUCCAGGAACAAAGAAGACAGAGUCCAGUGUCCAGUGCCUAAGGAAUAA